CAGUCGCCACGGUAAUACAGAGGGUGCGAGCGUUAAUCGGAUUUACUGGGCGUAAAGCGUGCGUAGGCGGCUUUUUAAGUCGGAUGUGAAAUCCCUGAGCUUAACUUAGGAAUUGCAUUCGAUACUGGGAAGCUAGAGUAUGGGAGAGGAUGGUAGAAUUCCAGGUGUAGCGGUGAAAUGCGUAGAGAUCUGGAGGAAUACCGAUGGCGAAGGCAGCCAUCUGGCCUAAUACUGACGCUGAGGUACGAAAGCAUGGGGAGCAAACAGGAUUAGAUACCCCAGUAGUCCCUGUCUCUUAUAC
rnacentral:rRNA from 1 species